AGCGAACGCUAGCGGCGGGCCUAACACAUGCAAGUCGAGCGGGGAGCAAUCCCAGCGGCGAACGGGUGAGUAACACGUAGGUAAUGUGCCUUUUGGUGGGGAAUAACCGUGGGAAACCAUGGCUAAUACCGCAUAUCGUGCUUCGGCAUGAAAGCUUCUGAGGCAACUCGGGGGCGCCAGUUGAGCAGCCUGCGUCCCAUUAUUUAGUCCUAGUUGGUAGGGUAAUGGCCUACCAAGGGUACGAUGGGUAGCUGGUCUGAGAGGAUGAUCAGCCACACUGGAACUGAGACACGGUCCAGACUCCUACGGGAGGCAGCAGUGGGGAAUAUUGCGCAAUGGGGAAACCCUGACGCAGCCACGCCGCGUGAGUGAUGAA
rnacentral:rRNA from 1 species